rnacentral:rRNA from 1 species
UACAGAGGGUGCAAGCGUUAAUCGGAUUUACUGGGCGUAAAGCGUGUGUAGGUGGCUUCCUAAGUCGGUUGUGAAAUCCCUGGGCUCAACCUGGGAAUUGCAGUCGAUACUGGGAAGCUCGAGUUCGGUAGAGGGCGGCGGAAUUCCCGGUGUAGCAGUGAAAUGCGUAGAGAUCGGGAGGAACAUCAGUUGCGAAGGCGGCUCUCUGGACCAGUACUGACGCUGAGGCACGAAAGCGUGGGGAGCAAACAGG